GGCGUCGUGGCGGAGUGGUUAACGCGACAGACUUGAAUCCGAAGAUCAAGCUUCAGUUUGAUAUCUGUUACCUUCGGGUGCGCAGGUUCGAGUCCUGCCGGCGUCG